UCCACAGCACCUGUCCAUUUCCUGGGAGAGCACAGCUCCUCCCGGCAGGAGGCGGCUCCCGCCUCAUUGGGUGCGCUGGAGAGAAGGUGCCUCCUGGAAGUUUUGUGGAUUCCUUCCUCCCUGGGAAAGGGAAAGAGAAAAGCAACCCCUGAAGCCUACCAACAGGAAAUCUUUAACUCCCUGUACAAUUUAAAUUGUUACUGCUAUAGCACGUGUUCGGGAUCUCCUGAAGAAUCAUUCAUCCAACAUUCCAGCAAGUCAUUCAGUAAAUAUUUCUUCAGUGGGGAUCAAACGUGCAACCUCAUGCUUGCCAGGCAGGUGCUUAAACCAGUGAGCUAAAUCUCUGGCCCAUAGGAGUAAUGCUCUUUCAAACAUCAAAAUGGUAAGGAAUCUUUCCUCUUUUCUUCUCCCACUUGUCUGUUAUGAAAACCAUGCUUCAGACUAGGGGCAGUGUGGGAGUGUCAGUGUCUCUAGAGAGAGCUGCAUUUUAACAUUGAUCAGAGCCCUUCAUCAAGGAGUGAAGGUCAUACAGAAUUUCUGUCUCAUCCAGCUGGUAACAGAGUGAGCCCCUGGGACAGCUUUUGUGAAAUUUCACUGCUUAUGUCCAUGCUGGGCCUCCGAGAACUUCAUGUAAGCUUUCAGUCAGGGAUCCCAGAUAGUGAUAUAGGGGAAUGAAAUUUUCGACCUACUAUAUGUCCGGUCCGAGUUCAUGUUCUCUAAAAUCGAAGAAUGAAGUUCAGGAACAACGGAGGUUAAGAGUGGCAUAUAUUUAUUGAAAGAAGGAAAAUUCUGUCUGAGAGAGGCAGAAGGGGUCCUAAGCGGGUAGCCAAAGACUGUCUUUUCUAGGCACUUAUAUAGAGUGCCUAGAAAGGUGAGAUGGGUCAAAGGUAGGGAAAAAAGAAAUGGGAACUUGCAAGGCAGACAGGCAUAAGGUGCGACAGAACUAUGGUUAACCAAUAAGAUUAAUUGUUCAGAUAAAAUUGAUUGGGGACAAAUGGGAAAGCGAGUCAGGCAUUCUUAGGGAGCAGUGACUCUUCCCUAGGGGGUGACUCCUGACUUCCAUAGGGUGAUAGAGAACUAUUUAGAAUACCAGUCCUCAUAUUUGGGUGAAUUUGUUUGAUCUUUUGUCUUGAGGCCUGGCCCACAGCAGGAGGUGUCUGUCUCCCCCACAGUUGUGAGAUAUCUGGGCUCCUGCACUGGCUUCUUCAAGGACCUAGCCCUGUCUCACUGCCUAUAAUAUUUCUAACUAAUUCAGCUGCCUGUAACAAUAGGUCCAAGCAAAAAGAAAGAGAGGCUGUUAAAGAGAUUAUUCCUGAAACUGGGGUCAGCAAAGAACAUGCAACUACUGGGGAAAUGAUCACAAUGUGUAUGGGGGGGAAUCUACCUGCUGUAAUUUUAAUAUAAUUUUCUAAAAAUGUGAUAAUCAAGAGGAAAAAGCAUGUAUGAAACAUAUUCCUAAUUAUGUGGAAAAUAUAUUUGCACUAGUAUUAAAAGCAAUGUAUCAAAAUGUGAAGGGCAGUUAUCUCUAAUCUAGAAGUGACUAUUUUCAAGUAAGCACACAUCAGUAAACUUGAUUUAACCAUUGUACCACAUAUACAGAUAGCAAAACUUCGUGUUAUACACCACAAUACACAGUUUUGUCAGUUAAAAGAGUGAAAAAGAGGCUACCAAAAAAAAAAGAACAAUAUGCUAUUGCUGAUGAUAAAAACUUCUAAUGAUGCAGAAAGGUGCACAACAUGGUAAAUGAAAAAAUCCUUUAUACAGUAUGAACCCAAAUGUGUAUGAGGUGUGAUUAGAAGCUACAAUGAAUGUUUACAUAAAGAUUCAAAAGUGCGUUACGGAAAUUAAUCCCCUUCACGAGCACACUUACGCCAUUGUGCUUGCCACUCUCUGUGCAGUUAUAGGAGUCCUCCUUCACAAGCAUCUUUAGUUCCCCUGUCCAGGCUGCCUCAGUUAUAAUAAGAGAUUCAAACCUUUACCUUUCAUGGUCAAAAGGAAGAAGAGCCAGAAGGCACAGGGUGCCAGAUCCCGUGAAUGAAGUGGAUGAGGGUGCCCCAUGCUUUUGUAAACUUGCCUUUCUGUUGGAUGGCACUCAGUAGCAGCAAAUAGCAUAUUUAUAUAUUUACAUAUUUAUAUAUGUAUAUAUACAUAUAUGUACAUAUAUAUAUUUUUUUAGCAUAUAUUUUUUUAAUCACACCUCGUAAAGACAUGAAAGAAGACUUCCAGAACUGCUUCAGAAAGGGGCAAGAAAGGUAGGAUAUGUGUGAUUGCAGUGAGGGGGGAGUAUUUUGAGGUGUAUUAAUGGCAAUGUGUCCUUUACUGUAAUAAUUUUUUAAAAUAUUUAAACAGUCACUGUAUCGUUUGAUCACACUGUGUGUGUGUAUGUGUGUGUGAUUUUACCAAAAUCUUUUUAAUUAAAUAGUAAGAUGGGUAAUUUUUCUUGCCUUCAUUUCAAAGAACUACUUGUCCUUAUUUUUCAUAGCCAUAUUUAUGGCUAAAAUAACCAUAUAAUAUUUCUGUAGUUGGAAUAAAGAACUACAAAAUCACUUUUUUGUCCCAGUGAAUAAAUUUCAACUGAAAGUAUUAUUGUUAACUGGGGAGAUGGUAGA